rnacentral:rRNA from 1 species
UACGAAGGGGGCGAGCGUUGUUCGGAUUUACUGGGCGUAAAGGGCGCGCAGGCGGUUCUGUUUGUCGAGUGUGAAAGCCCCGGGCUCAACCUGGGAACUGCGCUCGAAACGGCGGAACUAGAGUUCGGGAGAGGAGAGUGGAAUUCCCAGUGUAGAGGUGAAAUUCGUAGACAUUGGGAAGAACACCGGUGGCGAAGGCGGCCUGCUGGGCAGUUGCUGACGCUGAGGCGCGACAGCGUGGGGAGCAAACAGG